AGUGGCGCACGGGUGAGUAUACCAUAGAUAAUGUACCUCUUAGUUCGGGAUAGCCACUGGAAACGGUGAUUAAUACCGGAUACUCCUUCUUAUUAUAAGAUAAGUCGGGAAAGUUUUUUCGCUAAGAGAUCAGUCUAUGUCCCAUCAGUUUGUUGGUGAGGUAAUGGCUCACCAAGACUAUGACGGGUAUCUGGUUUGAGAGGAUGAUCAGACACACUGGAACUGAGACACGGUCCAGACUCCUACGGGAGGCAGCAGUGAGGAAUAUUGCACAAUGGAGGAAACUCUGAUGCAGCAACGCCGCGUGGAGGAUGACGCAUUUCGGUGUGUAAACUCCUUUUAAGAGGGAAGAUAAUGACGGUACCUCUUGAAUAAGCACCGGCUAACUCCGUGCCAGCAGCCGCGGUAAUACGGAGGGUGCAAGCGUUACUCGGAAUCACUGGGCGUAAAGGGUGCGUAGGCUGGCUUCUAAGUCAGAUGUGAAAUCCAAUGGCUCAACCAUUGAACUGCAUUUGAAACUGGGAGCCUAGAGUUCAGAAGGGGCAGAUGGAAUUAGUGGUGUAGGGGUAAAAUCCGUAGAUAUCACUAGGAAUAUCAAAAGCGAAGGCGAUCUGCUGGGAUGAUACUGACGCUGAGGCACGAAAGCGUGGGGAGCAAACAGGAUUAGGUACCCUGGUAGUCCACGCCCUAAACGAUGAAUACUAGUCGUCGGGGAGCUCGUCUCUUCGGUGAUGCACUUAACAGAUUAAGCAUUCCGCCUGGGGAGUACGGUCGCAAGAUUAAAACUCAAAGGAAUAGACGGGGACCCGCACAAGUGGUGGAGCAUGUGGUUUAAUUCGAAGAUACACGAAGAACCUUACCUGGCCUUGACAUGGUAGGAACCCUUAAGAGAUUAGGGGGUGCUAGCUUGCUAGAACCUACACACAGGUGCUGCACGGCUGUCGUCAGCUCGUGUCGUGAGAUGUUGGGUUAAGUCCCGCAACGAGCGCAACCCUCGUCCUUAGUUGCUAACAGUUUGGCUGAGCACUCUAGGGAGACUGCCUUCGUAAGGAGGAGGAAGGUGAGGACGACUUCAAGUCAUCAUGGCCCUUACGGCCAGGGCUACACACNUGCUACAAUGGGGCGUACANAGAGCUGCAAUACCNCGAGGUGGAGCCAAUCUCUUAAAGCGUCUCUCANUUCGGAUUGUUCUCUGCAACUC
rnacentral:rRNA from 1 species